UUACAGCCAUAUCAUGUCGAAACAUCGGUUCCCGUACGAUCACUGAAGUUAAGCACCGUCAGGCCUCGACAGUACCCAGAUGAGUAACCGCUGGGGAAUGCCAGAUGAUG